UGGGCGUGUUUACUGUCACAUGUCACAUACAUCGUCACAGUGGGAGGGGUUGGCUAGUCUCAGUGGGAGGUCCCUGUAGGCAAGCAACCUCAGGUUACAGUUGGUGGGAAGGAAGAAGCAGGAAGAGGUCGGUUUGGGCACUCUCUGGUCAGGCAAAAGCAGGGGCAAGUGUGGACCAUAAGGAAUGAGACUGAUGCAGGUGUACUGACUUGGGCUUGGGCCAUCGGGAUGUGAGCGCUGAACUCUUCAGGGAGAAGAACUUGAACAUCUCUCUGGACCACAAGGGCUCUAGGUGGGAGUGUCAUGGAUGUUGAGAAAACUAUGCCCUUGACUUGGUGCUUCGCGUCAUCUUGACAUGUCAGGAUCAGCUCUCAGGAACCCCACCAUGGUGUUCACAGACUAAGUGCUGUGAAAUAUAAGAUAAACUGUGUGUUCCUGAUUGAAAGUUUCAUUUAGAAGAGAAACCCCAACUAGCCUUGCUCUGCUCCACAUUAUUUACUAUGACAUCCUGGCGCCUUUCCCAGAGGUCUGCAUCUUUCACAGCCAGCCUGUCCCGCCCCGGGGUCUCCAUGAGGCACAGCACAGGAG
rnacentral:lncRNA from 1 species